ensembl:lncRNA
AGAGAGAGAAGGAGAGAGAGAGAAGGAGAGAGUGAUAGAGAGGGAGGCGGAGAGAGAGAAGGAGAGAGUGAUAGAGAGGGAGGUAGAGAGAGAGAGAAGGAGAGAGUGAUAGAGAGGGAGGCAGAGAGAGAGAGAAGGAGAGAGUGAUAGAGAGGGAGGCAGAGAUAGAGAGAAGGAGAGAGUGAUAGAGAGGGAGGUAGAGAGAGAGAGGAGAGAGUGAUAGAGAGGGAGGCAGAGAGAGAGAGAAGGAGAGAGUGAUAGAGAGGGAGGUAGAGAGAGAGAGAAGGAGAGAGUGAUAGAGAGGGAGGC